GAUGAACGCUGGCGGCGUGCCUAAUACAUGCAAGUCGAGCGAACAGACGAGGAGCUUGCUCCUCUGACGUUAGCGGCGGACGGGUGAGUAACACGUGGAUAACAUACCUAUAAGACUGGGAUAACUUCGGGAAACCGGAGCUAAUACCGGAUAAUAUAUUGAACCGCAUGGUUCAAUAGUGAAAGACGGUUUUGCUGUCACUUAUAGAUGGAUGCGCGCCGCAUUAGCUAGUUGGUAAGGUAACGGCUUACCAAGGCAACGAUGCGUAGCCGACCUGAGAGGGUGAUCGGCCACACUGGAACUGAGACACGGUCCAGACUCCUACGGGAGGCAGCAGUAGGGAAUCUUCCGCAAUGGGCGAAAGCCUGACGGAGCAACGCCGCGUGAGUGAUGAAGGUCUUCGGAUCGUAAAACUCUGUUAUUAGGGAAGAACAAAUGUGUAAGUAACUAUGCACGUCUUGACGGUACCUAAUCAGAAAGCCACGGCUAACUACGUG
rnacentral:rRNA from 1 species